GGACAUGAGGGUGAUCUCACCCACCACCCCAUGGAUCAUCGAUCACUGCAGCUGGUUUGGUAAGCUUGCUGGUGAGACAUAAGUCCCCUGCCUCCCUCACUGUCCCAUGUGUGUCCUUCCUAAAACUGCCCCCUCCCGUUAGAGGAGAACCUUUCUCCAGUCAAAGGUAUACGAAUAGUGCUUUCUCCUGCUAGAACCUCCAGGCAAGCUCACAGGCUCUGUGUGUAGGAAAACAGGAGUUAGCCAAACUUCCAAGACUGCAGGCACAUCAAGUGAGGCACGGCAGGCGGCAGUCUGCCUUUCA
rnacentral:snRNA from 1 species